CCUACGGGUGGCAGCAGUGGGGAAUAUUGCGCAAUGGGGGCAACCCUGACGCAGCCAUGCCGCGUGAAUGAAGAAGGCCUUCGGGUUGUAAAGUUCUUUCGGUAGCGAGGAAGGCAUUUAGUUUAAUAGACUAGGUGAUUGACGUUAACUACAGAAGAAGCACCGGCUAACUCCGUGCCAGCAGCCGCGGUAAUACGGAGGGUGCGAGCGUUAAUCGGAAUAACUGGGCGUAAAGGGCACGCAGGCGGUGACUUAAGUGAGGUGUGAAAGCCCCGGGCUUAACCUGGGAAUUGCAUUUCAUACUGGGUCGCUGGAGUACUUUAGGGAGGGGUAAAAUUCCACGUGUAGCGGUGAAAUGCGUAGAGUUGUGGAGAAAUACCGAAGGCGAAGGCAGCCCCUUGGGAAUGUACUGACGCUCAUGUGCAAAAGCGUGGGGAGCAAACAGGAUAAGAUACCCCAGUAGUC
rnacentral:rRNA from 1 species